GUAGGGAAUAUUGGGCAAUGGAUGCAAGUCUGACCCAGCCAUCCCGCGUGCCGGAAGAAGGCCCUCAGGGUUGUAAACGGCUUUUGACGGUGAAGAAUCGACAGGAUGCGUCCUGUUUUGACGGUAGCCGUUGAAGAAGCACCGGCUAACUCCGUGCCAGCAGCCGCGGUAAUACGUAGGGUGCGAGCGUUGUCCGGAUUUAUUGGGUUUAAAGGGUGCGUAGGCUGGAAGGUCAGUCAGCGGUGAAAAGCUGUAGCUUAACGAUAGUCUUGCCGCAGAUACUUGCUUUCUUGGAUGAGGAGGAGGCCACUGGAACGGAUGGUGUAGCGGUGAAAUGCAUAGAUAUCAUCCAGAACACCGAUUGCGAAGGCAGGUGGCUGUACCUUAAUCGACGCUGAUGCACGAAAGCAUGGGGAGCAAACAGGAUUAGAAACCCGGGUAGUCC
rnacentral:rRNA from 1 species